rnacentral:lncRNA from 1 species
GUUUUAUUAAGUAAUUUCUCUGUCUCUCUCAUCUUCUUCCUCUUGCCCUCCCCAUUCCCCCACCACGAGCGGUUGUGAUUCAUGUGCUAAACCUGGAGGACAGUACUCCACGCUAACCAGGAAGCGGCCUGAAAAGCCAUCUCUGGCACCAUAGUCUUCCAAAUACUUAGCCUCCUCUGAGUGAGAGUGUAGAGGAGGAAAUACCAUUGGAGUUAGCUUCCUGUGCAAACACAGGGCUCAGAAUAACGUUGUUUGUGAAACAGAGCAGUAUAUAUAGUCUGAUCUGAAGUGGAUCAGGGCCUGUGUCUACAGGAUGGAUUUAUCCUAAGAAAUAACAUCAAGGUCAGUCAGAGUUGCUGUGAAGUAAAUUACUGCCUCCAUCACUCCUCCCUGAUCUGAACCAGUUGUUCAGUGGUGGGAUGAGGUGUUUUUCCACAGUGGCAGUGAUGGCGCCAAGCCCAGGAGAUGAUUCCAGG